rnacentral:tRNA from 1 species
GCAGAUGGGGUCAACAGGAAACGACACGACACUCGUAAUGCGCAGGUCGUGGGUUCGAGUCCCACUGUCGGCUCCA